CUCUCUCCACCCAGGUGGAUAAUUGGGUAUCAGCGGCUUGUGAGGACAACCUACCAAAACUAGUGUAUCAAAGAACAAAUGUUGGUUGUCUGUCCAAACUAGUCAAUUGUUUUCUUGGGUUUUGGGUUUGCUGAGCUCUGGAAUUUAGUUAAAAACAUGUGACCAUCUUGCUGUUGUGCUAAUCAAUCAGAACAAACCCGUGGUUAUUCUGCUAAUCGGUAUUAUGACUAAGCGCUUCUUCGGGGACUUGGCACCAGUUACAUGACUCGUUUGAAUAUUUCUGUCAUGUUUGUUGUAAUAGGCUAGUCGUCGCUACCUUGUUUGGACUUUGCUGCAGUCUUUAGAACAGGGCUUUAUGUAACAGUCAUUGAUCGUUUUCUUGUUGUUGUUGUUGUUGUUCUUUUUUUCAGAUACCUGUUUGAAGGAGUAGGGUUCCUCGUAUCGUCCAUUCUCAUUUCAAACAUUUCAGAGAUAAAGAGGAUCAAUCAAAACGGCAUCAAGAAAAUGUGUCGUAACAUUUUUGCUAUCCAGCAAAACUUGACAAAUAUAACAAUGUCUCGAGAGGGAGACCUGGACCGGGCCCGACAGUACUACGAACUGCUGUACUCUAACCCGGAAGAAAUACUGUCGUCCAUUGAUGAGCAAGGAGCCAAGUUCUCCCAAAGAGAAUACGCUGACCUAUUGUCAUUGCAGGCACGAAGUCAGACCAUCAGAGAUAACAGCGCUCAUGAAGACAGACUGAAAAGGCUUAAUAAAAUAUUACACAAGUAGUCAAUAACUAAGAUAUUCAUCAAAUGGUCAAUAACUAGUAAAAUACUCAGCAAAUAGUCAAUAACUGAGACAUUCGAAACAGUCCAUAACUAAGAUAUUCAACAAAUAGUCAAUAAUUGAGACAUUCAACAAAUGAUCAAAUUGUACUUCCUAAAUUUCUCAGCAGAUGAGUCAGUACGGUUUUGAGUUCCGGCAAAUAAGUAGCAUCGAAAGUCUCCACGCAGUUAUUCUGACAUGAUCAACGUUUAAUUUCUCUUUUGCCGUUUACUUGGGUUUAGUAUAGCAGGUGCAGAGAAAAUAGUACGCGUGUCAUUUGCUUCUGAUUAUUUUACCAUGGAGAGGUUUAAGAUUUAUUGCCACGGAGAGGUUUAAGAUUUAUUGUCAGUUUUAAUCUAGCGCUCUUGUCAUUUGGCAGGUAUCUUAAAUUUUGAUCAUUUUUCAGUUGUCGCCAAGAAUGUAUAGGUCGGGAAAAAAAAUUCUGUUAAAAGGUUCCCGCAAUUAUAAAUUAAGGGGGCGCUUGAUUUUUAUCUCUAAAAAGAGAUUAUUCCACCAGUGUCAGGCAACAAUGAUUCCUUCAGUACAAGACAUCUCUCUCUGCUAUGAAUCGACUGAUAGGUUUUCUUUGAUCUGCUAAUGAAAUAAAAGUUGUUUGUAAAGAGGACACUAUAAGUCAAACAAAUACAUGUAGAUUCAACUGUGGACGGUUGUGAUGGGAUUGAACAAUAAAAAGUUACAAAAACGACAUGUAUAUAGGGUUAUACUUCAAAACAAAUUACGAACCGAGUUAUGUAAUGUGUUUGCGUUCAUAAUGUCAACAUAUAAAGACUAUAAAGAAAUUUUGAACAGUGAUCUUUGCACCGAGAGGGUUUUUGCGGCUAGUAUUACAGAGAUUGUUUUGUUUUGUUUUUUUUGUUUCGAAUAGAAUAGUGAAGACAAAAGCAUAAAAGUUAAGUAAAAGAUUAACGAAAAGAUAAAACAAGAGUUUUUUUAUGCUUUCAGCUAACCGCAGUGAGGUUAUUUUUUUAUCAGUCAUAUAAUAAAUUUGGAAACCAGCAGGACCUUAUAAUGUUAAGUUUGCCGUUAACGAUUUACGUAUCUAUAAAUCUCUGCCUACAAGUUGUGUAGCUUUCAAAAACAUUUCAAUGUUCAACUGAAAUAAAGCUAGUGUACCUUG